AACGAACGCUGGCGGCAUGCCUAACACAUGCAAGUCGAACGAGACCUUCGGGUCUAGUGGCGCACGGGUGCGUAACGCGUGGGAACCUGCCCUUAGGUUCGGAAUAACUCCCCGAAAGGGGUGCUAAUACCGGAUAAUGUCUUCGGACCAAAGAUUUAUCGCCUUUGGAUGGGCCCGCGUUGGAUUAGCUAGUUGGUAGGGUAAAAGCCUACCAAGGCGACGAUCCAUAGCUGGUCUGAGAGGAUGAUCAGCCACACUGGGACUGAGACACGGCCCAGACUCCUACGGGAGGCAGCAGUGGGGAAUAUUGGACAAUGGGCGAAAGCCUGAUCCAGCAAUGCCGCGUGAGUGAUGAAGGCCUCAGGGUUGUAAAGCUCUUUUACCCGGGAUGAUAGUGACAGUACCGGGAGAAUAAGCUCCGGCUAACUCCGUG
rnacentral:rRNA from 1 species